CAAAACAGGAUUAGAUACCCUGGUAGUCCACGCCCUAAACGAUGAAUGUUAGUCGUUGGAGUCCUAGUGACUUCAGUGAUGCAGCUAACGCAUUAAACAUUCCGCCUGGGGAGUACGGUCGCAAGACUAAAACUCAAAGGAAUAGACGGGGACCCGCACAAGUGGUGGAGCAUGUGGUUUAAUUCGAAGAUACGCGAAGAACCUUACCUGGCCUUGACAUUGAUGGAACCCGCUAGAGAUAGUGGGGUGCCCUUCGGGGAGCCUGAAAACAGGUGCUGCACGGCUGUCGUCAGCUCGUGUCGUGAGAUGUUGGGUUAAGUCCCGCAACGAGCGCAACCCUCGUCACUAGUUACUAACGGUUCGGCCGAGGACUCUAGUGAGACUGCCUUCGCAAGGAGGAGGAAGGUGAGGACGACGUCAAGUCAUCAUGGCCCUUACGGCCAGGGCAACACACGUGCUACAAUGGGUAGGACAAUGAGACGCGAUGCCGCGAGGUGGAGCAAAUCUAUAAACCUAUUCUCAGUUCGGAUUGUAGUCUGCAACUCGACUACAUGAAGCUGGAAUCACUAGUAAUCGUAGAUCAGCUAUGCUACGGUGAAUACGUUCCCGGGUCUUGUACUCACCGCCCGUCACACCAUGGGAGUUGAUUUCACCCGAAGCGGGGAAGCUAAACUGGCUACCCUCCACGGUGGGAUCAGCGACUGGGGUGAAGUCGUAACAAGGUA
rnacentral:rRNA from 1 species